CCUGGUUGUAAUUAAGUACUUCAAAGUCUUCCAAACACCCUUUUAGAAAUGACUGCCCCAAAUACAAAAUGAUGUCCAAUCAGAUGUAAAUCAUCCCACAGCAGGGAGGGAGAGGCCUAGGUAGCAGUCAUCAGCACUUGGACUAAUCAGAAAGUCUGGUCCCUUGAUGAGGAUUUUCGUUUUCUCAUUUGUCAUUCUAGCCACUGAGGUCUCAAGCGGCCAAUUUGCUCCCUAUUGGUAAUCAGCUAGUUAUUUUUACUCUCAUUCCUCCCUCUGGGACUGUCAAACUACUUGGAGCAAUUCAUCACCCAUUUGGGCCAGACUCUUCUAUGACGGGAAGUGAGGGAAGAAAGAGACUAUUCUGCAAAAGAUAAAAUUGAAGACUAUUCCAUCAUUUAUAUUCAGUUUUUAAACAAUGAUUUCCCCAAUGAGGAAGCUGCCUCUCUAAAAAUUAUCAACGCAGAAAGGAGCAUAUGAAGGCUGUAGCAGACAUUAGUGGUUAUCCUAAACCACGCUACCCUGCUGCCACCUGGGAGGAAGGUGCUCAUCAAGAACCAAAUGUUCACAAACUUGAUCGCUUUUGACCUGGAAAGUAUGACUUUCAUCAAUGCUCUCCCCUAAGUCUGAUCUCAUAUCCUCAUUCUGCAAUUUUUCUUCCCCAUGGACUCUCAGAGCCACACAAUAAAUCCUGCUCUCCAGUUUAUAGUACUACUGAAAGUUGAUUGGACACAAAGACUCCAUAGUCAUCAAUGAGCCCAUCUACUGAUGUAUUUAUAAUGUGAUGAUAUCAUUGGGAAUGGCAGAAACUUAGAAGGUGGAGCUGGCUUGGAAGAAGCAAGUCACUGGAGGGUGUUUUGGGAGGCUAUGUCUUAUUGAUGGGUCACCCAUGAGGUGAACACCUGUGCCCUACUAUGCUCUUCCACUGUGACAUUCCAUUUUACUACAGGCCCAUAAACAAUGGAGUCAGCUGAAUGUAGACUGUAGCAUCUUAAACUGUAAGCCAAAAUAAACCUUCCUACCACCAUGCUGCAAAAGAGGAUGAUCAAGAGGACUGAGCAGGGAGAGAAGCAAGCAACCACCCAGAUUCAGAUCACCUGGUCUCUCGGGGAGUGAAAUGAAGUGACACACUCAAGCCAGGGCUAACUGUGCACAGUUGUUCCUUGCUUUACAGACUUCUUCAAUCCAGGACAGAAGAAUGAACAAGGAAGGGUAAUGUACUACAAGUAGGAGGUCGGCAUGGUAAAGGGGCAGUCAGAAAGGAGGAAAGGCAGCUCGGUUGAAUGAAGGGCAGAAUAGUGACAGUCUGAAGAACAGAGCUGAGUUGGAACUGAGUUUACAACCCAACACACAUCACUUAUUAACUGAAUAAUCCCGAGUCUCUGUUACUCUUGUUGAGACUCAACUUCCUCAUCUGAGAAAUGGAUGAUAUUGCUUUACAGCUACUAUAAGGAUUCCAAGAGAAACUACCAAGAAAGUACUCAGUCUAGGCCCUAACAUACAGUGUUACUUAAAUCUUCAGUAGGUUGCUUUCUCAUCUAUCCAUUUGAGAUGGUCAAUGACCACAAUAUAGUUUAGACCUCUUAAAAUCUUUCCUUCUUUCCUCAAAGGUGACUUUAUCAUUGACUCUCAUCCAAAUUGCUCUAUUUAGACCAUAAGCUUGUGUCAUAGACCUUUUGCCACAGCUGCUCCUGGCUCUAACCAAACUCUCCACCCAUUGGUGCUGCCUCCUUUCUAUCCAAUGGAACCUUCACAUCUGGUGGAUCACCUAGUUGACUUAGAUUCAUUAUGUCCAUUUUGUGUCAUACUGACAUGAACUUUUGCUUCUAACAUUUUUUUUCAAGUAGGAAACAACAUGACAAAUGCUAGGUGCUAAGCAAUAUCUACUGGAUAUACUACAGAAGACUCAAAUAAUUGGUUAGAUGUGAGUCCAAGGCUGGUGUUUCCUGGAACUAUGAAUGUAAUAUUUUGGAACUUCUCAGUCUAGACUCAGAGCAUGGCAAACCAAGCAUGUCCACCAAGAGCAGCCUACCAUCUUUCAAAAUGAGAAGAUGAUCUGGGAGAAAAUAGCAAGGAGGAGCUUCCUCCAUACUGCAAGAACAUCAGUGUAGGCUUCAAGAUGCCCAGGGAGACAACCAAAACACAUAUAGUGACAAGAAAUACUCCCACAAAUGUCUCCAACUGAGGGAGGCUCAUGUCCAGUAUGGUGGCCAAGAUGAAGAGGCAGAGGGCCAUUGCCAUCUUUCAGGAUCAUCUCCACUGCAUCCAGGGACAACUGCUCCAGGAGACAACAUAAAAAUGUGCCUGUGUACCCUUCCCCUGCUUCAGAGAAGUGAAGAUGGGCAACGUCAUUCCUGUGUCCCAGUGCAGGGUCCUGAGCAGGACUGUGUCCUUCAACAUCUCUGGGUUACUAAGGCUACCAAUACCAAAACACAGGUCCAAGAAGUCUGAGACUGAGCGGCAUUUGACCACAAACCAAGUUAUUUUCGCACUCAAAGAAAACAAAACGGCAGCUACUACUGAUGGCAAUGGUUUCCAAGCUCAGAGAGUGAAGGGAGUUAAUCCCUGAGCAGCACUGAGUAGCAUCUUUGGGGCAUAGUCAUUGCUAAAUAGAACAAUUGACAUACAUGUUGAAGAAUGUCUUGAUUUAUGAGCUAGAAUCUAUAAGAAGACAAUAACCCUUCUUCCAUACUUCUGGACUCCUUGCCUACAUAGGCAAUCAAAUAGGACUCUGCCUCUCCUCUGCACCUCUCUAUUCACAUACUCCUCCAAAAUUGCAUACCACAUAGUGGCCAGUGGGAAGCUCAGGGGCUGUCAUAGGUUUGGCUCACAGCUUGACUAGUGCUGGCAUCAGGUCAGUGUGGCUGCUCACAGGUCUGUCAUGCUCUUAUGAAUCUGUCUUGUGAUGGGAGUGAGAAUCAUUGUCACUGGCCGUAAGAACCUGAUAAUUACACAUUUUCUCAAAUACAGACCAAGGAUCUAUCUUCAAGCCAGCAGAAAUCAUCAUCUGCAAAUAUGUGUGUGCUCAUGCAUGAUUGCAUCCCUGAGGCUGGGGAUGUGCAAAAGUCACAUGAGUUUCUGGCUAAUGGGGAAGGCAGCUGUCACAUUUUCCUACGUCCCUUCCACUCAUACAUAAACCUUAAGGUGGAUGACUGGAAUGCAUUAAAAAUGAAGCCCGAAGCCAGCUCAAUUCUUAGUUGUUUUGCUUCUUUGGGGAAGAAGCUCAACCUUUCUAAAAGUAAUUGAAACUAACAUUCGUUUAUAUGUCAGGUACUUUAUAUGUAUUAGUCAUUUAUCCAGCCAUUUGUUUGUUUAAUCAGCAUUGACUGAAUGCCAGCUUUAUGCCAGGCACUGUGGAUACAACAAUGUUCAAUAGGACAUCUUUGCUUCCUAUAUCAUGAAACUUUGAUAUUCAUGAUGAAGGUAGGGAAUGAGCAAUUAUUUGUGUAUCUACUUAAUCACAAUUAGUUGUCAGUUCAUUCAUAAGGACUUGGUAAGUCUCAAUUGCUUGACUGAUGAAUUGUGAUCAAUACUAUAAAGCAGGUAUAUAAGGUAUUUUCUGUUCCUAGGUAGGUAGGCAAUGGCCUAAUCUGAAAACUUGGCCAAGAGUUUGAAUUAUAAAUUAUAAUUUAUAAAUUAUAAAUUUGAAAGUUAGGUGAAGUUUAUAUGUGUAGUACUGUUUUGAAGAUCAAGAAACAGUAACUCAGAAAGGUCAUAUGACUUAUUUAAAGAGUUGGGGUCUCAAACAAAAUAAAACAGAAGCAAAAAUCAACCCAAGACUGAAUACUUUGUCUAGAAGAGACUUCGGUUCUAGAAGUAGGAAAGUUCAAGAUCAGGGACAACCUCUGAGAAGGGCACCAUACUGUGUCAUAAAUGACAUAUGGCAUCAAAUAGCAGAGCAAAAGUAAGAGCCAAGUGACACUCAUGCAGGAGAGAGGGUUGCAUAGGGUCUUAGAAUGGAAGCAGCUGGGCAACUCAGAACCCUGAUGUGCUUUUGUAGAAUCCAACUCAGUUCCCUAAGACUUAGCCUAACUACAGAUGAGCAUCCAUCCCUUCAGGAAUGGAUAGAGGCAGGAAGUGAAGUCUCAGCUGGGGAAGUACUUGCUUUCAAACAUAAGGACCUAGCUCAGAUCCCCAAUGUCCACAAUAAAGUGUGUCUGUAAUCCCAGAAUUGGGGAGACAGACAGGAGAAUCCCUGGAGUUUCUGAUCACCCAGUCUAGCUGAAUCAGUGAGGUCCAGGCUCAGUUAGAGACCUUAUUUCAAAAGAUAAGGUACAGGUCAAUAGAAAAAGAUACCUAACAUUGACCUCUGACCACCGUGAACAUGCCCACAUGUGUGCAUGGGCACCCAUACAGAAAAUUAUACCUAUACAUGAAUACACACACACACACACACACACACACACACACCACAAAGAAUUGAGUUCCCAUAAUCUAAACACCCAUUAUGCCCCCAUCUCUUUUUUUGGGGGUGGGGGGUUCAAGACAGGAUUUCUCUAUCAUGGAACUAGCUCUUGUUCCAGGCUGGUCUUGAACUCACAGAGAUCUGCCUGCCUCCACCUCUUGAGUGCUAGGACUAAAGGUGUGUGCACUACCACCAGGGUGCUUCUAUCUCUUAAAUAUUUCAAUACUUUUCAAUCAGGGGCAUAAAACUUUCAGUGAACCAUGAUUCCUGAAUCCUAAUACACUGUACUUUAUGGAGUCCAGAUUUGAUAGAUCCAGUUGUAACUCCAGACCUGGUGUUCUUUCUGGCCUUCUGUGGCUGAUGCGAUUAAAAACAUACUUUAGUAUUACUAAAAAGAUUUUUUUCUAAGUUUAUGAAAUCUGUGUGCUGGGGUCUAUGAAGAGGUUCUGCUUCAUCAGGUCAAUGGACUAAGAAAACUGAGUGCACAUUUGUGUAGGCUCCACGUGUGAUUGGAUGUAUAGCACUGAAGAAAACGUUGCCUGGGUCUUUCUGUUACUCUACUCCAAGACUCUGUUACAGCAUUUCACUGUGGAAGGAAAUACUACUGUCAAUCAAGGCUCUCUGUGUCACUCACAGCUCGAGUGCUCUGGACCUCCAGGUCUCCAUGAAGCUAUGACUACGUCAGUACUUCCCAGCCUUCAUUAAAGGAUGGUCAUAUGACCCAGUCUGGACAACUGGCCCUGAAUCUCCAAAGAAAGUAUCCAGGAAUAGUCACUUACUGGAAGUUUCCAUUUGACUGAGUUGUAGAUGAUCUCAAAGGUCCCUUCUGACUUGCAAAUCCUCUGCAUCUAUGAAAUCAGUCAACCUCUGUGGCCUGGAGACAUUACGGAAAGUGGAGAAUGCAGGCGACAUUACAGAAAGCUCAGCUCUAGGGAGCGGGGCUGGGUGCUGACCCAUUGCCAAGACCCUCUGCUCUACUCGGCAGUGUCUUUGUGAAAAUAGUAACCCUUUUUUCCCCCUGACUGAUUUAUGUGACAGUUGGAAAGCAGCUUCCAGAACAGCAUGUUCCUCCCCUCAGACUAUUAACAUAAAUAUGUGCACGGGUCCUUGGCUCCCACUUCUCUGUGUACACUAGGCUUAAGGGGCCUUAAAGCCGCAGGCCAGCUCAAGAAAAACCAGAGAGAGGAAGUGUUGUUAGAGACACAAGAAUGAAAAGGGGAAAAGGACAGGAGGUUGCUAAGAGACAAUGUCAAGCUGGGCCAUGGGAUUAACAGCCAAAAUCAAAGCAAGAACUUAAUGGUAUAUUCUUGCAGUAGGAGCCCUUUCUAAGCGCAAGGGGGAGAGGGUGAUUACCCAAGUAAUUCCACUCCAAAUCAGGCGGAAAGGGCCCCCUUUCCUUCUUGGCCAGAUGAAAAGUAAAAAUGAAGUGAUUUAAAAAAUAAUACUAGCUAAUACCAUCCUCUAGCUUGCAGUAAAGCAGAGCAGUUCUUAACUACAGGCGGACUUGAAGUCUUUACUAUGCUAAUGAGUGCCGAGAAUCACUAAUGCCGAAACUAUUUGCAACCUGUUUAUUGAGAAUGGACAAACAUUUUCCAAGCCCUCUUUGGGGAAUUAUGGUUUACCAAAUGACUACGGUGAUAUUUCUUAGCCAUGUGCUUUUUUUUUUUUUUCACAUUAAUCAGUUCAUUGGAUUUAAGCAAUAGCCUUGUGAAUUGGUUAUAUUUCCCCCACCUUUGCAGAAGUAAAGGCAUCAAGAGACUCAGUAAAUUAAUUGCUGGGGAGUAAAGAACUAGGGGAGGAGUUUCUAGGAACUGGGUUUGAAUCUUGCUCCUGCAGACACCUCAAACUCUGACUUGGUUUUCACAUGUGAAAAAAUGGAGACAGAGUUGCUGAGCUUAAAGGUAAUAUAAUACAUGUGCUAUAAUUGCAAAAGUAGCUAUAGAUACCAUGCUCUUCCUCCUCACAUCUUAUCAUUAUCCCACCACCACCAGCAGCAUCAGCACCAUCACUAUCACCACCACCACCACCACCACCACCACCAUCAUCAUCUUCACCAUUGUCAUCAUCCUUGUCUUGCAUUUAAUGCUUGGGAAUGCAGUUCACAGAGACACACAGCAUGGAAAAUGUGUUUUAGUUUAAUCAAGUGAAAUAGUAGGUUUAGGUACGCAAGAGGCUAGGUAAAUGAUGAACCUCUUUAGAGAAAUGGAAAAUCUCAUUGCCAUUCUUUGAGCCAAACCUAUUUAUAUUCGGUGACCAUCUGCCAGUGCAGCACCCUUUUGGGGUUCAUGAAGGGCCAGCAGCAAGAGACUUCAUGGGGCCAGGUUCUGUUUUACAGUCCAUGCUUGGUAGAGCAGGAAGAACUGGUGACUUCUGUCCUGCUAGCCACCGGACUCCUUCAGGAGCUUGGUCACACAGCUUUCUAAACCGGACCCUGGAGUGCCGGAAACCUCAGGUCUAUGAUGGCUUCUGGGAACUUGCAGCUGAUGUUAACCAUCAGCCUGCUUCUGAAGCCACUGGACUGGACUGGACAUGGAGCAGAGGCAAAGGCAAAGACAAAGGCAGAAGCAGGUCGGUCUCUGAGUUCUAGGCCAUUCCAUAUAGCCAGUUCAAAUUCACCUAGGGCUACAUAGUAAAAGUUUGUCCAAAAAUAAAUAAAGAAAGAAAGAAAGGAAGAAAGAAAGAAAGAAAGAAAGAAAGAAAGAAAGAAAGAAAGAAAGGAAGAAAGGAAGAAAGAAAUUAACAAAACCUACCAACCCCUGCACUGAUGAAGAUUUGGAAAGACUUCCUACCCAUUUACCCCUCAUGGAUUCAGAGAAACUGGUGCGAUUAUUUUUUGAACCAGAGAGACUAUUGUGGUCUUCCCUUGUACAAGUACACAACAACUUUCGGACAUCCUGGGCUCUGAGUGACAAUUUUUUCCCCAUGCUUCAUGUUCAAUACAGUGGCCUCAUUGUGAAACAAAGGACCCUGGGAGAGUCUGACUGAUGGCAAUGUAUGCCUGACAGGCCUGAGUUCAGAUCCCAGUGUGGGAUUAAGAAGGGAGAGAGGACACACCCUAACUGGGAAAAGGAAAAGUAUGGAGCAUGGGGGCCGUGUGCCCAACCUCGAAGGCCAAAUAGUCGGCUACUCUGACUAUUUAAUGUCACUGCCAUCAGCUACAUAAUGCAAGUGAAAAGGCAGCAGGAGAAAUAAAAUCCUCAGUUAUGGUUUAGUAAUUGCUUUCAAGACAGCAGGAAAUAAAAAUGUUCCCAAGUCCUUGUAUAAUGGCAUGCUUCCCUCGUGGACCAGCAUGCACAUGAGUAACAUUUUCAUGGCUGGCUUUAAAUUAGCCUUGAUUUCUCUGUCAAGUAGAGUUAAAGUUCACUGUAAGAUAUUUCAUUGCUUGUCUUAAAGUGAUGAUUUCAAGCCUUCUAAAUAUUUAUGUCAGUGUCAUUAUUUGGG
ensembl:lncRNA